rnacentral:rRNA from 1 species
GAUGAACGCUGGCGGCGUGCCUAACACAUGCAAGUCGAGCGCGAUUAAGUGGAGUGAGGACUUCGGUCUAAGUGAAGCUUAUGAAAGCGGCGGACGGGUGAGUAACGCGUGGGUAACCUGCCCCAUACAAAGGGAUAGCCACUGGAAACGGUGAUUAAUACCUUAUAAGUCGGUAGUCUCGCAUGAGACAGCCGACAAAGAUUUAUCGGUAUGGGAUGGACCCGCGUCUGAUUAGCUAGUUGGUGAGGUAACGGCUCACCAAGGCGACGAUCAGUAGCCGACCUGAGAGGGUGAUCGGCCACACUGGAACUGAGACACGGUCCAGACUCCUACGGGAGGCAGCAGUGGGGAAUAUUGCACAAUGGGCGCAAGCCUGAUGCAGCAACGCCGCGUGAGUGAUGAAGGCUUUCGGGUCGUAAACUACUGUCCUAUGGGAAGAAAAAAUAGACGGUACCAUAGGAGGAAGCCCGGCUAACUACGUGCCAGCAGCCG